AUUAACAUCCCGCUCCCGGUGGCGCAGGGGAGCCGGCCAAAGUUCCUCGCAAAGUGGCGAGCGAAGGAGCGCUGAGCACUGGCGUCUGGGCUGGGGAGGAGCGGGUCCCAGCGAGGACGGAGAGGGGACAGAGGGAAAGGGAGGCGGGUGUCUUCCUCAGGAAUUUGAGCUGGGGAUCUGCAUCCUGGCCAUUGCAGUCCUUUAGCAUCCUCGCCGCGCCCUGAGCGCGCUGGAGGCUUGCAGGCUGCGCCCUCCCAGGGCUGAUGCCGCGUCCUGCUCCGCCGUUCUGGGACGUCGGGGACAAAAGUGGAGGAGACGGGAGAGCCCGGGCAGAAAAAGCAGGACGCGCGUCCCAGCUGCCGUGAAGAUGCCAAACCCACCAAGACUGCGCUGCCCCACCUCUCCGAGGCUGUCCUGGGAGUGCGGGUGACCCGCGAGCUCCAGAAUCUUUCCUUAAGGUGGAGCCACAGCGCCACCUCGCGAUCCUCCAGCUUCCCUCCCUCAUGGCCACGGAAGGCUGGCCCUUUCUGGUCCAAGCCCUCAGGGUCCCACACUUACUGGUUUUCCAUGCACUUUCAUUAUUUCCCUUUCUCUCUCUUCAAUGUUCCCUUAUCCCGAGUAUUGAGGUCCCCAAACACGCCUUUCUACCCCACGUUUGGACAUAGCCGGAAUGUCUACCUCCUUCUCCAUCCGGUGAAGCACUGCUCCCCCUAAAAUCACCAGCUCAAAAGUCACCUCUAUGAAACCUUUUUAGACUUUUCCAAGGCAGUCAUUCGUGCCUUUCCCUGGUUUCCCUACUGCUCGCAUCACAUUGGACAGGAAAUGCUAUUUAAACGUUUUUCUCCUGUCCCUAAUCAGGGAGCUCCUCUGAGAGGAGCCAUGGCUGUCUUUGCUUAUUCAACAAUAAAACCUAGUAUAUAUCAAGUGCAUACUAUGGAGCGUUUAAUGCACUGUACUGUGCAAAAACAUAUUGUCUUAUUUCAUUUUCCCAGCAAAAUCAUGAGGAAAGCACGGAUAUUGUUUCCCAUUUUGCAGAUGAAGAAACUGAGGUUAGAGAAAAUAAGUACCCAUCCAAGGUAGCAUUGCAGAGCCUCAUCCAAGUCAGCCUGUCUGAUGCCAGAGCCAACUUUUCUUAACCUCUGACUUGCAGACUUAUUCAGCUCUAUAUCCGUGGGCUUUGUGAUAGGAAAAGACACAGAAUGAGUACUUGUGUGUUUAUGAAUAAAUGUAUCUUUUAAAUUAUUUCUUCUCCUAGAGAGUUGGGUGUGGGAAGGCACUGCAAUUAUCAGAUACUUUGAUUGAAAUGUCACCACAAUUAUUUAUCUCUAAAGAGUAUUCCUCUGCUAAGUAGCUAGGAGACCUUGGUCAAGUCACUUCAUCCUCAGUUUCCUAAGUUCUAAAAGUAGGUUUACUGUGGAGGAUUAAAUGAGGAAAAAAAAUGUGAAUUACAUGAUAUAUAGCAUUCUAGUCAUUACUCAGUAAUUAUAAUAACUCGAAACUACUGAAACACAAAAAAAAAACCAAAACACAAAAUUGACUUACUCUAGUCACACAGAAUUCACUGUACCUCUGUAUGAAAUCAUCUUACUGUUAUAUCUUCAUUUUCAUCUUAGACAUGAAUUAUAUAAUAAAUAUUUUUAGUUUAUGGUGGUUAGGGUGUUAAUGUUAACCGUGCUCUGUUACAAAUAUUUAAGGGGUAGUGGGGAGAGAUAUAAAUCAAACAGUAAACCAGCAAACUUUGCCUCUCGUAAUUUCCUCCUGCUUUGUAGAUCUUUACCAAGAAAGAUUUAAAGAAAGGCUAUAAAAGUACUUAUUGGCCACGCACGGUGUCUCACUCCUGUAAUCCCAGCCCUUUGGGAGUCCGAGGCAGGUGGAUAACCUGAGGUCAGGAGUUCGAGACCAGCCUGGCCAAUAUGGUGAAACCCUGUCUCUACUAAAAAUACAAAAAGUUAGCCGGGCUUGGUGACGGGUGCCUGCAAUCCUAGCUACUUGGGAGGCUGAGGCAGGAGAAUCGCUUGAACCCAGGAGGCAGAGGUUGCAGUGAGCCAAGAUCGCACCAUUGCACUCCACCUGGGCAACAAGAACAAAACUCUGCCUCAAAAAAAAAAAGAAAAAAGAAAAAGAAAAAAAUGCUUAUUAUUCUGGAAAGUACAAAACUCUAUUUUUUAAUUUAGGGGAGAUUCUGAGCUACUUUAAGUGUUUCCCUACUUGAAAACGUCGUUGCUACCAAUACAUUAAAAGUUUAAAAAUAUGUGUCUAAGCAAAUGAUUGUAUCCAAAUAAAAGAAAACUCAAAUAAAAUAAUGUAUUACUACUAAUAUAUUAAAAGUUUAAAAAUACAUGUCUAAGCAAAUGAUUGUAUCUAAAUAAAACAAACAAAUGAAUGUUGUCUGAACAUAUUCUAGACCUUAAGACAUUUCCCAAAAAGGUUAAGUUUUAAAGAUUUAACAUCUCUUUCUAGAGUGACCCAUUAAACAAACAUUCCUAUUGUCAAUUAGGUGAAAAUGAACUUUUUCCCCUGUUACGGCUAUAACUUUCCUACUGUCCAAUUAUUUUGGAAAGACUGUUGACUAGUAUUGUCAUGUCAUAAACACAUGAUUUCUCCUCUGAGAAAUGAGGCUAAUAAAAUCCACAAAAGGUAUAAA